UGUUUUAUCUUUUUAUUUUCUAUAGUGUGAUCUUUUGUUAUAGUGUGGUUUUGCGUUGUGUUGGUAAGACAGGAAAGACGCUGUGACACCGGGAGUUUUUUAUGGCUGACCAUAGACUGUAUGUGGCUGACCCCGAUUUAUUCUGACAAACAGAAACGGAAUUUAGCCUAGUUUGCCGCGACUUUAAGCUAGCAGAACUCUGUUUUUACGUGCCACAUUAUGGAAAUCAGUAUAUUGACAGGCGAAGAAAGACAUUAUAACAUUCUUACGAUUGGCUGACGCAGGACAUUGGGUCUCUUAGGAUGACCAGCAUGCUGCGGAGGUGACGAAAGUGUUCUCAAGCCAUGAUGAGGAUUUCGGCUGCACUGGUGUGGUGAAACUCAAGUCGUGACAGGAAUUUGUGAGACUAUGGUGGAGGGACCUCUGACCUCCAUGCCCCCCCAGAAGAAAAGUUUGUGCAUCAAUCUGCUGCACUUUGAAAGCAAAAUAAAGAGGCUAGAUCUAUGAAGAACUUUGCUCUCUUGUUAACAAUGUCAUGCUCUAGUUAACAAUUUGAUCAUAAAGACACUGUAAAGAUGUAAAUGGCGAUCAAACAGCGAAAAUGUCAAAAUGUCAAAAAUGUGCAUUUGUUUAAUUUGUUUUUCCAGCAACUCUAAAUCUAAGAAGUAAUUUCCCUAACAUUUUAGUGUUUUUUUUCCUUUUAAUGGACAAAUGUUUUAUGCUUCCUGUGAAUAUAAUCCAAUUAGGCUUAUUUCCAUACUGCAUACCAUGCUGUAUAUAUGUAUACAUGUUGUAACACUUUAUUUGAAAACCGGAUGUUGUUACAUGUGUAUCCUCACACUAAAUUCACCAAGUCCGACACAAUUUGAUAAAUUAUAUAGUACGUGGUUCUCAUAUUGUGUACAAUGAAGACUUCCUAGCCUCUCUUUAGGUAAGACUCUCGUACUGCAAUGCUUGUCUUUGUGUCAGUGCAUUUACCAUUAAGGCAUGGAUAUGUGACGUGUGCACCCCAAAUGUAGGUGCGGCUAACUUAAUCGUGUUUUCUCAAACGAGUGACAGUGACAGACUCAAAGCUGUGGUAUAACCCUUGGUUAACGUUACCAUAGUAACUUCAAAAGAAAAAUGGUUGUCUCAAGUAGGAUGCCAAAGUGUGUGAGCGUGUGAGGUUACAGCAGUGGCGCAAAACACAACAUUAGAGGUCUGUAUUAUUAUUAUGAGAAGUGUAAAAAUAUUUUUGCCUCAUUUUAAAACUAUGGAGGAACAAAUUAGACUGUGGCGAGCCGGCUACCAAGUCACGCUCACAGACCCCUCUGGUGCUACAGUCACAUACACCACUGCAGCCAACAUAGCAGACGACUCCAGCAACAAACAACGGCAGAGGAAAGGCCACAUCAAGGCAGUUUUAUGCGGCAUUGCUAUGACGACCAGCUACAUUGAGGAGGUACUAUUUACAAUGGAAAACGGAUGAUGGCAGGCCAAAAGCAAGUCGAGUAGAAUCGAGGCAGGUUGGGGCGAGUUGAGCUGGUACCAGCAAUGGAAGGACUGGAGGUCCUUGUUGCCUCUGACCUGGUCAUAAUAAUAUAUAAAUAGCUGAGCUCUUGUGAUUCAGUUUAUGCUGCUGCUACAUUCAGUCACACUCACUGCGAACUUUAAACUACAUCCAAUUAACUCUGGAGGUCUGCUGUUUUGUUUAUCAAUGCCACAUAACAUUUUGUAAAAACAAGAGAUUUCUGUGAUUGUGUGUAUGCAAAUACUGUAAUAAUUUGCCUGUUGAAAUUAGAGCUGUAAUUAAUGGUUCAUUUCAUAAUAGGUCUGUGAAAUAUUUCCCAUUAACUGGUUAAUCUUUCAAAUUGCUUGUUU